CAAAAGUGUAGGGAGGCUAAGGUCGCCACGUCCUGUGGCAACGCCUCCAUGACCAACACCCGAGUUGG
rfam:Bacillus sp. KCTC 13219 scaffold17.1, whole genome shotgun sequence.